rnacentral:lncRNA from 1 species
AGCCCCUGGAACUCUGGCCCAAGGCUCUCUGAUUGACACUUUCCCAGAUCUUCUAGGCUUAGCAGCUGAAGACUGACACUGCCCGAUCGCCUCGGAAGCCUGCAGGACCAUCACAGACCCUCUGGGUAACUCUCACAGUGGAGGGACCUGGACUAGAGUGAGACCAGGUAGGUGCCUAUGGCACAGAAUAUAAGUGAGAUCCAUGUACACGGAUCCACUUAUUCAGAGAUGUGUCCAAGGCACCUUAUUUGCCUCACCCUAAUCCUGACCCUUCUCUGGAAUCUGUUCUCAGCCUGCGAUUUGUUUUAACAAAUAGAAUGUGUUGGAAGUGACGCUGUGCUUGUUCUGGGUCUAAGUCUUAUGAAUGCCUAGAAGCCACUAUUUUGUGCUCUUGGGAAUGUUGAGUCUUCUAAGAAAUCCAGUCAUACUACUGUUGAAAGCACAUGGAGAUACAAAGUGGACACUUCAUGUGGAAUAGGAGAAGCUCUGAGACUAGAGGAGCAGAGGAA